AUUGAACGCUGGCGGCAUGCCUUACACAUGCAAGUCGAACGGUAACAGGUCUUCGGAUGCUGACGAGUGGCGAACGGGUGAGUAAUACAUCGGAACGUGCCCGAUCGUGGGGGAUAACGAAGCGAAAGCUUUGCUAAUACCGCAUACGAUCUACGGAUGAAAGCAGGGGACCGCAAGGCCUUGCGCGAACGGAGCGGCCGAUGGCAGAUUAGGUAGUUGGUGGGAUAAAAGCUUACCAAGCCGACGAUCUGUAGCUGGUCUGAGAGGACGACCAGCCACACUGGGACUGAGACACGGCCCAGACUCCUACGGGAGGCAGCAGUGGGGAAUUUUGGACAAUGGGCGAAAGCCUGAUCCAGCCAUGCCGCGUGCAGGAUGAAGGCCUUCGGGUUGUAACUGCUUUGUACGGAACGAAAGACUACUGGUUAAUACCUAGGGUCCAUGACGGUACCGUAAGAAUAAGACACCGGCGUAACUACGUGCCAGCAGCCGCGGUAAUCACG
rnacentral:rRNA from 1 species